rnacentral:rRNA from 1 species
UACGUAGGUGGCAAGCGUUAUCCGGAAUUACUGGGCGUAAAGCGCACGCAGGCGGUCUUUUAAGUUUGACGUGAAAGCUCCCGGCUUAACUGGGAGAGGUCGUUGAAGACUGGAAGACUUGAGGCAAUGAGAGGGGUGUAGAAUUCCCGGUGUAGUGGUGGAAUGCGUAGAUAUCGGGGGGAAUACCAGUUGCGAAAGCGGCACCCUAGCGUUAGCCUGACGCUCAUGUGCGAAAGCG